rnacentral:rRNA from 1 species
AGUGAACGCUGGCGGUAGGCCUAACACAUGCAAGUCGAACGGCAGCACAGUAAGAGCUUGCUCUUACGGGUGGCGAGUGGCGGACGGGUGAGGAAUACAUCGGAAUCUACUUUUUCGUGGGGGAUAACGUAGGGAAACUUACGCUAAUACCGCAUACGACCUACGGGUGAAAGCAGGGGAUCUUCGGACCUUGCGCGAUUGAAUGAGCCGAUGUCGGAUUAGCUAGUUGGCGGGGUAGAGGCCCACCAAGGCGACGAUCCGUAGCUGGUCUGAGAGGAUGAUCAGCCACACUGGAACUGAGACACGGUCCAGGCUCCUACGGGAGGCAGCAGUGGGGAAUAUUGGACAAUGGGCGCAAGCCUGAUCCAGCCAUACCGCGUGGGUGAAGAAGGCCUUCGGGUUGUAAAGCCCUUUUGUUGGGAAAGAAAAGCAGCAGGUUAAUACCCCGCUGUUCUGACGGUACCCAAAGAAUAAGCACCGGCUAACUUCGUG